rnacentral:rRNA from 1 species
GAUGAACGCUGGCGGCGUGCCUAAUACAUGCAAGUAGAACGCUGAAGCUUGGUGCUUGCACCGAGCGGAUGAGUCGCGAACGGGUGAGUAACGCGUAGGUAACCUGCCUCUUAGCGGGGGAUAACUAUUGGAAACGAUAGCUAAUACCGCAUAAAAGACGAUAUCGCAUGAUAUUGAUUUGAAAGGUGCAAAUGCAUCACUAAGAGAUGGACCUGCGUUGUAUUAGCUAGUUGGUGAGGUAACGGCUCACCAAGGCAACGAUCCAUAGCCGACCUGAGAGGGUGAUCGGCCACACUGGGACUGAGACACGGCCCAGACUCCUACGGGAGGCAGCAGUAGGGAAUCUUCGGCAAUGGGGGCAACCCUGACCGAGCAACGCCGCGUGAGUGAAGAAGGUUUUCGGAUCGUAAAGCUCUGUUGUAAGAGAAGAACGAGUGUGAGAGUGGAAAGUUCACACUGUGACG